rnacentral:rRNA from 1 species
AUUGAACGCUGGCGGCAGGCCUAACACAUGCGAGUCGAGCGGAUGAAGGGAGCUUGCUCCUGGAUUCAGCGGCGGACGGGUGAGUAAUGCCUAGGAAUCUGCCUGGUAGUGGGGGAUAACGUCCGGAAACGGGCGCUAAUACCGCAUACGUCCUGAGGGAGAAAGUGGGGGAUCUUCGGACCUCACGCUAUCAGAUGAGCCUAGGUCGGAUUAGCUAGUUGGUGGGGUAAAGGCCUACCAAGGCGACGAUCCGUAACUGGUCUGAGAGGAUGAUCAGUCACACUGGAACUGAGACACGGUCCAGACUCCUACGGGAGGCAGCAGUGGGGAAUAUUGGACAAUGGGCGAAAGCCUGAUCCAGCCAUGCCGCGUGUUUGAAGAAGGUCUUCGGAUUGUAAAGCACUUUAAGUUGGGAGGAAGGGCAGUAAGUUAAUACCUUGCUGUUUUGACGUUACCAACAGAAUAAGCACCGGCUAACUUCGUG